UACGUAUGGGGCAAGCGUUAUCCGGAUUUACUGGGUGUAAAGGGAGCGUAGGCGGUACGGCAAGUCAGAAGUGAAAGCCUGGGGCUCAACCCCGGAAUUGCUUUUGAAACUGUCGAACUAGAGUGUCGGAGGGGUAAGCGGAAUUCCUAGUGUAGCGGUGAAAUGCGUAGAUAUUAGGAGGAACACCGGUGGCGAAGGCGGCUUACUGGACGACCACUGACGCUGAGCUCGAAAGCGUGGGGAGCAAACAGG
rnacentral:rRNA from 1 species